rnacentral:lncRNA from 1 species
AGACAUAUGAGAAUACAUACUGGUGAUAAACCUUAUAAAUGUGAUAUAUGUUGUAAAGGAUUUAGGUUUAGUUCAAAUUUACAGAUUCAUAUGCGAACACACACUUGUGACCAACGUUAUAAAUGUGAUGUUUGUGGUAAUAGGUUUAUGAGUAAUUCAAAUUUACAGACUCACACAAGAACACACACUGGUGAUAAACCUUAUAAAUGUGGUGAAUGUUACAAAGAGUUUAAACAGAGCCAACAUUUACAUAGGCACAUGAGAAUACAUACUCGUGAUAAAUCUUAUAAAUGUGUUAAAUGUGGGACAGGAUUUAGUCGAACUGGUGAAUUACAAAGACACAUGAGAAUACACAUUGGUUAUAAACCUUAUAAAUGUCAAUUGUGUGAUAAAAGGUUUAGUGAUCCUUCAAAUUUACAUAGGCACAGGAAAACACACACGGGAGAUAAACCUUAUAAAUGUGUUCAAUGUGAUAAAGGGUUUAGUCAUAAUUGUAACUUACAGACGCACAUGAGAACACAUACUGGUGAUAAACCAUACACAUGUGAUGUAUGUGGUAAAG